ACUCUUUAGUUUCCUGUAGGCUUUUCAGUGCUUUCUGAGCCUGAGUUAUGGCUAAACCAUUCUCAAGGACUAGUUGAAGUCUCUUGUUUGUUUUCUUGAUGCUGUUCCUAGUGUCUUGUAAAUCAUCUUCUGUCUUUGGCACUGCUAAGGAGUGAAGCAAGCAGUUCCACCACUGCAAUAUAUCUAGGUUUUGUUACAGCAGGAGGAACAGAGCCCAGCUCCUGACUGAAGGUCUUGUGAGUUGUUCUAAGUUUUAAUGUAUAGCAUCAUUUCGGGAUCAGCCCAGUGAGCACUAUCAGUUUGCCUCAUUUACCUUCCAUUCCUGUGCACUUUGUUAGACCUGUGACUUUGUGCUAUGCUCCUCCUGGGUCAUGUAUUGGUCUAUUUUCAGAGGGUAAAUCCUGCAGCUCCACCAACACACAGCUGCUCACAAUGGCCCCGUGAAGCAGCCCACGUGGCUCGUCUGCAGGCACGUGGCCUUGAAGUCAGCCAAAGAAGGCUUCUGGCAUGUUUUCUCCUCAAAGCUGGGGAUGAAGGAGGAGGAGGCUGCAAUAAUUGAGCUGAGAAAACUUUUCGUCUCCUGUCUGGGUCUCAGUGGGCUCCAAAGAGGGUUGAGAAGUUCCAAGUUCUUGGGCUGGCCCUGUCCCAUGUGGCAGCUGCCUUCUAGUGUGGCUCAGGAGCCUCUGCUCAAGGUGACUUUUCAGCAUUUUAAUUCCUUUCUGUACCUCUUCUUCUGGGUUGCUGAAGCUUUUCUGCUGGCUUGUAUUUUUAUGAGGGUUUGUCUCACCCACUGGGCUCUGAUGGCUGGGACACCUUUUGGUCCCUGUUUCCAGAAAAGCAUCACCGCUGCUGGGCCCUACCCAGGACGCCUGGAUGUGUCCAUCAGCUGCCCCGGCAGGCUGCCACUACAGUUCUCUGGUCCCUCCUUGAGCCCAUUGCUCCCUCCCCAUUGCUCAUUUUCUCUUGGCUUAGCAUAAACGCCAGCCCUCAGCAUUCUCCUUGGAGGUGACAGCCCAUGCCUGAGUCCAGCAGUGAACCAUUUGCUCCAAGCAGCAAACGGAGCUGCCUGGGAGCCCUCAGGGCUUGCUUUGCUCCUGUCUGUGUCCAGCUCCUUUGGUGCCUAUUGCACCAUGGGCUCUGAUUUCUUUCCCUUUCCUCAAAACAUCAUCCCCUUUUGGCUUCUUCGUGAACUUUCCUUGAUUCUCUGAUUCCAGAAAAGACCUAAAUGUCUCCAUGUGCUUAUCCAAAGUGAUUGAUCCCUGAGAUUCUUGUAACCUUUAUUUCUCUUGCCCAAGCCCAACUGCACUGUCCUAACUCCAAACAGCAAGUCAAACCCUCUCCUUCUGCCCCAUGCAAACUUUCUGGCUUGAGGAGGAAACAGCUCUUUUGUCUAUCAUUUUUGCUGCUGCAUGUGAAUGUGUCCUCUUUUAAAAUGUUUUUGCUUGAAGACAAAUUAUUAUAGAGUUUUCUGAGCAGACUUGCACCAAUUUCAUUUACUUCUGCGUGCUGGAGGCCUGAUCCUGGCAGUACUGAGCUGAUGCUCUGUGAGGCAGAGUUAUGCCCGGUUCCUCAGCGAAGUCUGUCCUGGUGUUGCACAACGCAUCUGUUCUCGGGGGGGCUGUGUGCAAUCUCCCAUCCGGGCAGACGUCUGAGCCUGAUCCUGCUGGAGUGACGUCAAGGGCUGCAAUACUGUACCUCGUCCUGGCACGCUGCUGCUGCAGCAGCUGCAGGCGCGCUGGAGGUUGUGCAGCUGCUGCUGCUUCGACCCGCAGUUAAUAGGUUACCGACAGGGAACAUGGGUGGCCCUGCAGCUCCGGAAACCUCUGACUGGAAGCAAAUGGUAGUCGCUUUUAAAAGGAGGAUCCUCGUGUUUUGGCCUGUGAGCAGGGCAGUGGCUAGGAUAAAACUCCAGCAAGUUUGCAGCCUUUCUUGAGGUUGGGGCUCGGGCUGGCACAAGAGAAUGCCUUUUGUCAUGGAGCUGCAGCAGCCAGCACCACAGAGAGUGCCAGUAAAUCACUGGCCUUGGCUUGGUGCUCAUCCCCGUGGCUCUGAUUAAGAGAACAAGAGUACAUUAUCUACAAGCAGCCAUUGUGAAUACUUGCUGCUGAGGUCUGCUGAAGGCAAUAGUGACGGAUAAAACAGCAGCCUCAGCUUGCAUCUAACCCACCAUGGUGGAAUAUAAGGGUGGUGGAUACACCGGCUACACCUGAAUGCAGCAGGGAGGUUUCCUGCUGCUGCAGGGAAGGAGGAGAGCCUCACAUCCUCAGGGCAGCCCAUGCUUCCAUCCCUUCACCUUGAGGCACCCAGGCCUCUUGCACUCCCCAGAGGCAGGGCAGGAGAGCUGUGAAAUGGCAUUGAGCAGGAGUGGAUUUGCUGGGACUUCCUGGCAUCAUCACAAGCAUUGCCUGCACCUCACCAGCCCAGACUGAUUCCAGCCCCAAACUGGAGAAAUGAUGCUUCUAAAUCUUUCGGCUAGUCAGCUGAGUGCUGGCCCAGGCUAGGGUCCAUCUUGACAGCUCUGCACAUAGGUCAGAAGGAAAGAAAAAGCGACUGACGGUUUCAAUUUUUAUAUGAAUGCCCACAUUCUUCAAUUCUUCUUCAAAGCUGCUUACAGACUAAGAUCCGCUCCCAAGUUUAGAUUUUGGAAGUAUCCUUAAAAAAAUCAUAAUUUUGAUCUGGAAACAGGACUGAGAUAAGUCUUGAAGUGAUGGCAGGAUCUUCCUGCAGGAGCUGCCACAUUCCCUGUGACAUUGGCACAACUCAGGUGUCCUGAAGAAAAGGCUUUGUCAUCAUCUUUUUGCUACAUAUUCUGCACCAGACAGUUAAAAUGCUUUUUAUGAACAUCAGUUUGUUCAGUGUCAAGACUGUUAUCCUCAGGGAACCAUUGGAAAAAGCGAGGAACAAGGAGAUGAGCAGGACCAGUAUUGCUUUGGAUGUUUGGCAGUUUGGAAGAAGAUGGCUGUAAUUCUGGUGGCUCACAGUCAGGUGGUGCUGGAGAAGAAUGAAACUUCACAAAAGCAUCUUAUUCAUUCAACAUUGAUCCUAUGUAAAUGGGCCACACACACUGAGCUGAGUGUCUGGAGUAACAUCACAGUCAAAGGGUCCAGACCCCCAGCCUUAGAUCUCCCCAGUUUUGUGGACUUUGGCUUUGUCUCAUCUCUCUAACCUCCAAAGAGACUGACUGAACCUCCCUGCUGUGCUCUCACUAAAUCUCUGGCCAAAUGAUGGGCUCCCACUUGCCUGUCCAGCACUGGUGCCCCCAGGCACAUGCCUGUUGGUGUUGCAGUGUUGCAUUUCUGACCUGUUGUUGCUCCGUGACCUGAGCGAAGGUUACCAGUGUUUUUGUGUGGACUCUGUGUUUACUAUUUAAGGUGAGCAAGAGGCUCUGGAUUCCACUGGUUGGGUCAUCCUCUCUGUUUCCCAACUCAAUGUAAACGGACAGACAGGCAAGGUAGCUCUUCCUUGAAAACCUUCAAAUUCUGUUGCGAUGUGCCAGUUUCUGGCAGACUCGAUACUGGCAACACACGAUGGUUACAGCACAGUCGUAGUUGUUCAAUUUUGUAAAUGUUGUCUUCAGAAGGACCAUCUUCUCUUACCACCUUGAGCCACUUCCCUGGAGUCCUCAGCACCAGGCUCCUGCACAAACACACCCAGCUCUGGCGUAUUCCUUCCAGGAGAGGGCAGGGGAAUACAGUUUAUUGCAGAUCCACUCCUGAACAGGAGCCAGGUUUAGUAAUGCCCCAGAUCUUCCUGUAUGUCUUCUAGUCUAUUUUGCUUUCCUAAAUGCAGUAGAGAGGUAAGUGCUGAAUCUUGAAGUGAGUCAGUGGAUUUUGUCACAUUUGCAGACCUGCCUGUUCCUGAGUCAUCUUCACGAGGGACAGCUUGGGCUGUGCUGCUCGCCUUGCUCUUGAACCUCUAGGAAUGAGCCUCAUCUGUCACAUUGGAGGCAUCAGCUCCUGCGCAGCUGUGGGACCAAGGCUUAAACAGCUGAGGCCCAGCUCUUCUGCUUCAUAUCAUCACAUCAGGGGAGGCAGUGAUGGGACAGCGUGUCUGUCACUCACUUAGCACACCCAUAUUCCUGCAGGAGAUGGCCUGAUUCCCUUGGCCGUUCGGAAUAGUGCAGCUCUGCUCUUGAGUGUGUUUGACCACAGAUUAAAACCCAGGAGGUCUGCAUCGAAAGCCAGGUUUGGAACGGGACCUGGUUAAAGAUGGUUUGGAAAAAUAGCAGCCAGAAAGUCAGCUGAUAUUUUCUUUCUCAGUAUCUUAAUGAACAGAAAGUUUGGGAGAAAAUCAAAAACGCUCGCCAGCUCUCCACAGUUUUUAAUAUUCCAAAGGGCAUUAACAUACAAAAAUCCUAAAAUGAGUUUCUUCCAUCUUAUCCCUGCCUAGGCCUAUAACUCUGACUUGAAAAGACCACGUAAUUUCCAAACUAGUUAAGGAAAGAAAAAAACUUAUAUGAAAGAAUCAAUAAACUGUUGGCUCUGCAGCACAGAUGCCCUUGCAAGGCCAAAGAAAUGAAGCCCUGAGAUUGCUGUUGCCGUUUCCACCUUGUCCUGCAGAACCACAGUCAGGGAUAAACAUAUUCUUUGUGUCAAUAUUUCUGUAGUACCGAAAGAACUUGCAGUCCUUAUCUGUGAGUGUCAAGGACUGCCGAGUUAAAGCGAUUGUAACGUUACUGGAGAGUUUGACAGGCUUGGGCACUCGCCCUGGGCUGUUACUGCUCCGGGGCUGAGAGCUGCAGCCCAGCAAGGCUCAGUCGGACACUGCCACUGGCUUUGUGGCAGAGGAACGGGAUCUGUCUGCGUGUGGCUGGUUCAGGAAAAUCUCCAAAUAGAAGCUGAACUCUUUUAAUUUUUCUUCACCUGAUUGUUUUUGCUUUUCUCAUUGGGAAAGAGCGGCCGUGAUUUGUAAAUCACAUGGAAAUGUGCAAGUAAUCAAUUCCGCCUUGCUAACCCUUCUGCCAAGCGGCCGGUUGGCUCUCCAGACUGCUGACAGCUUGCUGCUGCAGUAACGGGAAUAGCAGGGGCUGGGGCAGAAAUACCACAGGUGACCUCUAAGGCAGCAAAGCACUUACCCUGUGCAGCCCAAACCCUCUUUUUGCCCAUCCGUGAAGCUCAAACACUUUCCCUUCCAGUCCCCUCCAAAGCGAGAAGCCAUUUGUAACGCAAAACUACAAAAAAACUUACAGAAGAUGGGAAAACCUGAGGCAGGAAAAAAAAAAAUCAGUUUUGGUACAGCCACAUGUGGAAAGGCAAAGUGUGGGCAGGGUCAAACAAGCCUGAGGUGCAAACUGCUGAGCACAGAGCAGCCUUUUGCUCCCUCUCCCACCUUUCCUGGUGCUGUGCUACGUGGCACAGCAACUUGGGAACAACUUCAGCCCGAUUUUUUUUUUUUUUUUUGUCUUUACAGUGCAGUGCUAUUAUUAUCCCCAGGAAAGUUUUAAAAGCCUUGAAUGCUGAGCUUUAUUUGCCUUUCCUGACUGGAUCUUUAGCACACAGCCAUCAGACAAAGGACAAUGGAAAGUGCCUUAACUUCGCUUUAGCCCCGGUGUUUGGCGGGGCAGUAGGAAUGCCACAGAGGCUGUCUGAGCAGGGGAACCAGUUUGACUGAAGUUCUCUCCUGAAAGGUGGCAAAAGAGAUAAUGGAAAUUCCCCAGGCUGGAUCAAGCCAUAGAGGUGACAACUGUUUUUUAAAGAACUUGGUGACCAGCUGGACAGGGAAGGAAGUCACCUAGCAAUGCACAAAAAGCAUGGGGCAGGGGAAAAGGUCAGUGAGCAUGGUCUCAGUUUUGCUGCAGUACCAAAUAAAGCCACCGAACAGAAGAAAGCUGACGUGAGACAUCGGUGACAACGGCACAAAAGAUCAUCCCCAAAAGCCUGCCCAGCCCAACAGUCAUUGCUGGUUCUUGUGAAAAGUUGGCAGCCAGAAGUGAUCAGAGGAUAAGUCUCAAUAUGUGCAUUUCUCCUGCUGUUAUGCAAAAGCUCAGAGUGCCUCCAAAACCUUGAGCAAAGCUGAGAUGUGUGCCAAUUUGCUUUCACUGUCAUGGGGCUCCAAGGAAUUGAUCAGUAAAUCAGUUCGCAGCUUGAGAGGUUCGUUCAGUUAUCCUGGAUGGAUGGAGAAGAGGCUGGCGCUGCCACUGCAGCUUCUAAAUCUCAAUUUUGGUUUUAAGCCCAAAAGCACUUCUAUGGACCCCAGAACCAGGAGUGUGAUGUGAGGCCUCACAACAGGCUCUGUGCGAGGAGGAAAAAAAACUUCUGAGGGUGUCCUGAUGUCCAAUAGCCUGGACAGAGCAGCAAUUUCUACAAAACUGCUGGACCUCCAGAAGUCCCCAAGGCACAGCCUCUGCACAAAUGUACAAGAACUUUCCUGAAGUUUCCCAGCACAGCUGAUCCCACAUGCAUGGCUGAGGGCAUCAGGACAUGUGCGAGGCUUUUGGUGCAUCCAGAACCUGUCACACAGUGGGGAAAUCUCCAGGAGAAAUAUAGAGGCCCUAGUUACACUUGCUUGUUUAUUACCAUUGCAUUUGAACUCCCAAGGAUUGCUCUUGCCUUGUACUGAAUGGGUAGGAAGCUCUGUAGGGUUCUGCAAUGUAGUUGAAGUUACUCCUCCCUGAGUGAUGAUGAACUGAAGCUGUGUUUGUUCAUCCCGUGGGUGUCCUUGGGCUCAGACUCACAAGCUCGUUACCUGGUUUACCAAAUUGCCACCUGCCUCUCGAAGCGACUGGUCCAUAGCAGGUGGGAAAAAGACACGGAUCCCUCCUCUCUGUGUGCAGCCUCACAGGGCUAGCACCAGCACAAGGGGCAGCGGCGGUGCACAUCUGGUUCUGCUGGAGCCCUCUGGAAACACCAGCCUCUGUAUUUGCUUCAGUAAGAGCUGAAUGCACCCAGCCCUGCAGGAUACUGACAGGGAAACAGAAAGGUUUUGAGCUGGUGAAGUGGAAGCAGCUUGAAAGCAGAACUGGGACUGGUUCGUUUCCAUGUGAGUAAACAUGGGAUUUCCCUACCCCUUCUGUGACCAAGAAAAAGUUGGAAAUUACUGUAACUUAAAUCUAAAGAAGUUGUCCAAAAUUCAGAGCAAACACUAAUGUGUCCCAAUGCAUUUCUAGGUCACAAUGAUAACAUUAAGACUAUAAAUCUGGGUUGUGUUCAUGGCAUUAAACAUUCUGAGGUAGUUCUGUAGCUGCACAAACCAGCAAUUGAGAUUGCAAUAAAUCCAGCCUUGAGGGUUUGGGAUUUUAGCUAUAUCUAAAUCAAAUCCUUUGCAUUGCAUCAAGCUAAACUUCACCUACUCAGGGAACAAAGGGGUAGAAAACAGUGAAACAAGACUUGCUAAUGAUCUAUUUGGGGUACAAAUAUUCAAGGCCAGUGUUUUUACCAAUGCAAUGCUUCUUACAUCAGUGAAGUUACACUAAUGCAGAAUUUGGCCCUGGUGUUUGUAUAUAAAUAUAGUAUGUAGGAAUCUGAUGAAUGUGCACUUAUGUAUUAUUCA